CUGAAACUCUCACUCCCUUGCUCCUUCGUUCGAACCACCAGCAACCACCGUAGGCCACCACUGCAUCCACCACUGACCACCACCGUCCCACACCGUUUGACAACACCUCACCCACUCAGCACCACCAUUGUACCCCCGUUGUCCUCCCUCUCCUUCUCCUCGUCGCUUCCCUGCCUCUCUCCCCUGACUCUCUCCUUUUCUCGGCCCCGCCAGCACCACCACUGUCUCGCACCACCACCUCCAGCCACCCCAUCACUCUAUCAACCAACCUCCGCCUCAAAAACCCCGGCGAGCUUCCCUCCCUCCGCCCAGAACUGCCUCAAGUUACCACCACAAAUUCCCCUGUUUUUCCUUUUGUUUCGCACACUCACCGCCCUUCCUCGUGUUCUGCCGCCGUGAAGCACCACCCUCGUUGCCUCCCGGUGCGGUUCCGGUGCUGCAACACCGCCCAAGACCCGAGCCCAGCGCCACCCUCCUCUCCCCUCAACCUCCCCUGCUUCCCCCCUGUUCGCACUCCCUCUCCCCUUCUGUGCUGUUCCACCGCCGCGAACCAACCACCUUCACCAUCACCGUCAUGCUCCGGCGCGGUCUCGCGCUGCUGCGACACCAGGGCCGCCGCCCAACCCCCCGCCUAGUCGCCCCCUUCCUCCCCUGUUCGCGCGCGCCUUUUCUCCCUCCUCACGCUCUCUCUCUGAAUCGCAAAACCACCGCGCCACUGUGCUGGCGUUACCGCCGACGCCGUUCAGGCCGCACAGACCCGCCGCCACCCUCCCUUCCCUUCCUUUCUUCCUUCUUCGUGCCUGUUGCUUGCCCCUCCCCUCUGCUCGACAUUUCUUAAAAUCAGAAAACCAAUUUCCUGACUUUGAAAUUCUUCCAUUUAACCCAAAACAAAAGGGGAUGGGCCCAAAUUCUAAUGGGCUUUGAAACCGGACUUGGAGCUCAGGAAGAACGAUCCAUCAGACGGGAAGUAUAAAGCUACGGUUGAGGUACUGCGGGGAACGAUGGAAACGAGUAGUGGCGAGGAAUUUCACUUUAAUAUUAAUCACCGAGUUUAUGCUUAAUGUUUUAGUAGUUUAAUUAAAGACUUCUAGUAAGUUAUGUACUUGUAUUUUGGGAAUAUAAAGGAUUAUUAUAUUAAAUUGGAGGAUUUUAUGGCUUAUGUAUGAUGUUGCCUUGUAAUUUCCAAGAGGGAAUUACGGCAGGUAAUGUCCCGACCAAAUUAGGUUAAUUCAGCUGCUAAUUAUACUUUAAUAAGUGAUUUAGAGGUCGGGGCGUUACAGGCAUAAUGUGGUUCGGGAUACCCUUGUUGAUGUUUGUUAUCGGUCUGGGAUCUCGACGCGGAAAGAGGUUGAUAUUGGUCUAUCUGGAGGGAACGAUGGAGCUCUCCGACCAGCAGAUGGGUUACUCUACUCUUGGGAUCGGGGCUGUGAUGUGUUUAUUGACUUGACGGGAUCUUCUCCUUUGACACAGUCUGGGUUGUCUGACUUUGCCCCGGGCCAGGUUGUGACUGAUGCGGCUAUUCGGAAGCGGGUCAAGUACGAAGCAUGUUACUAGGUCAUUGGUUAUGGCUUUCUUCCGUUCUCUUUCUCUUCUUUGGGGGAGCUGGAUAAGGAUGUUGUUGCGUUGCUAAAGCGGAUUCAGAAGUUUUCUAGUACACAUGACAUUGGGGCUCGUGCUGCUGCUCAUAUUUUCAUCGGGAUAGGUUUUCCUAUAGCAAGAGGAGUGGGUGCCCAGA